AGAGAGCAGGAGUCAGAGCCACACCAACCAGACUGAAGGUGACGCUCAUCUCUAUGAUAUAAUCAACUCUGCUGAAGUUGCUGGAAAUGGAGAUGAACUCAGAGAUGUUACAUACUCUGUCAUUGAAAUAAAAUCCUCUAAGAAAGAGAGUAGACAUCAUAGGCCACCAGAGGAGGGCGCUGUUUACUCUGACGUGAAAACAGGAGCUGCAGGUACAGUCAAUUUCAUGUCAUCAUUACACUAAAGCUGAUUACAUCUCAGCAUAGAGUUCAG